rnacentral:tRNA from 1 species
UGGCUCAGUGGUAGAGUGUUUGCCUUGCAUGCAUGAGACCCUGGGUUCAAUUUCUCAG